GGUAACAAGAACACCACCUCCCAGAACUGUCCCGAUGCCAGCAGCAUUCAGAAAGACGAUACUGCCACAGGAAGUACUGCAAUGGAAAGGCCCCCAGGCCCUAGCCCAGAGCUUCUGGCCUCCCUGCAGUUCCUAGGAGAAGACAAUGACUACACACUGCUGCCUAAGUCCUUACACCAGAUUGCAGAGGCUUACUCGCUGAAAGAAGACUACCAGUGCGCUCUCCAUUUC